GACGAACGCUGGCGGCGUGCUUAACACAUGCAAGUCGAACGGAAAGGCCCUGCUUUUGUUGGUUGCUCGAGUGGCGAACGGGUGAGUAACACGUGAGUAACCUGCCCUUGACUUUGGGAUAACUUCAGGAAACUGGGGCUCAUACCGGAUAUGAGCUCCUGCUGCAUGUUGUGGGUUGGAAAGUUUCGGCGGUUGGGGAUGGACUCGCGGGUUAUCAGCUUGUUGGUGGGGUAGUGGCUUACGAAGCGUGUGAGGGGUAGCCGACCUGAGAGGGUGACCGGCCACAUUGGGACUGAGAGACGGACCAGAAGCGUACGGGACGCAGCAGGGGGGAACAUGGCAGAAUGGGCGGAAGCGAGUGGCAGCAACGCCGCGAGCGGGAUAACGGCCUUCGGGGGGUAAACCGCUGUCGCAUGAGACGAAGCGUGAGUGACGGUAACGGGUAAAGAAGCACCGGCUAACUACGUG
rnacentral:rRNA from 1 species